rnacentral:rRNA from 1 species
GACGAACGCUGGCGGCGUGCCUAAUACAUGCCAGUUGAGCGCUGAAGGUUGGUACUUGUACCAACUGGAUGAGCAGCGAACGGGUGAGUAACGCGUGGGGAAUCUGCCUUUGAGCGGGGGACAACAUUUGGAAACGAAUGCUAAUACCGCAUAAAAACUUUAAACACAAGUUUUAAGUUUGAAAGAUGCAAUUGCAUCACUCAAAGAUGAUCCCGCGUUGUAUUAGCUAGUUGGUGAGGUAAAGGCUCACCAAGGCGAUGAUACAUAGCCGACCUGAGAGGGUGAUCGGCCACAUUGGGACUGAGACACGGCCCAAACUCCUACGGGAGGCAGCAGUAGGGAAUCUUCGGCAAUGGACGAAAGCCUGACCGAGCAACGCCGCGUGAGUGAAGAAGGUUUUCGGAUCGUAAAACUCUGUUGGUAGAGAAGAACGUUGGUGAGAGUGGAAAGCUCAUCAAGUGACGGUAACUACCCAGAAAGGGACGGCUAACUACGUG